ACGCUCGACACCUACGAGGCAGCAGUCGGGAAUAUUGCGCAAUGGAGGAAACUCUGACGCAGUGACGCCGCGUAUAGGAAGAAGGUCUUCGGAUUGUAAACUAUUGUCGUUAGGGAAGAAAAAGGACAGUACCUAAGGAGGAAGCUCCGGCUAACUACGUGCCAGCACGCCGGACGGUAAUCUGGAGGCGGGCGUGGACGAAGGC
rnacentral:rRNA from 1 species